GAUGAUCAGAGCCCAGCUCACCAGGGAAGAGGAGACACAACGCGUUCUGAUGCAUAUCAUCACCAUUCUUUAUACUCUUCUCACUGAGAACUGAAGGUGCUUUUGCCUCCAAAUAUGACUUAAAAGACUCAGUGCCGCAUGUCUCCCUCUUUGUUCACCUUCAAGAGUUUAAUGCCAGCAUAGAAAAAGAUUUCUCUUCCAUGAAGUACAAUCAGAGUAUGCAUUCUUAUGGGUCUUCAUUUUUUCCUGGCAAAGUUUCGGCACUUGGAAAAGCAGCUGGGGCCAAGAAUAUACAUGGAAAAAGGUGAAUUUUAAACAGCCUACAGGUUUGCUGAAUACUAAGAGGAAAAUUUGGAAGUCCAGCCAGUUAGGCAUAAAGUGAUCAAAUUAAACCUCAGAUGUGUUUCUUCUUGCCGCUUUACUCUUCAGCUGUUGUUUGUUUGUUCUAAUGAUUUUCUGUUGAUAAUUUGGUAAAAAGAAAUGCUUCUGCAACUGUCUUAUUGGAAGGCCUUUUUACACAUUCUUAUUAGAGCAUUUAUAUUCUUUGAAGAGAUCGUGGCAGUCCCAUCUACUGAAGGGUAAUGCUCAAAGAAAACAAUGGAAAACACAAAUGGAAAACACAGUUCUACAAACACUAUAAAGAGACUUCUCUUUAUUUAUCUGAAUAGGAUUUGGUCUACAAGAUCCUGGAGGAUAAUUUUAUGACUUCUCGAUUUAGCCUUAGCAUUCUGCCUAAGCAUAGCAGACUGUGAUUAACAGCUCAGUUACAUCUGUGCUAGCAGACAAAGGCUCUUCUCCUGCUUCUGACGUAGACACCGAGAAUUUUGCCAUGAAUUCAUAUUACUGUAAUUCAGAUGUGAAAUAAAUGUGAAGUAUAUUUUCCAUGAUAUGAUUACUGAAUUUGGUUCUGGUCAAUUACAGCAGCUUGCCCAGGGCUAUCAACAGAGUAAUGAUUAAUGUUAAUAAGCAACACUUCCUGGCAUCUGCUGCCUGCCUGUGAAAAAAAAAACAACAAAAAUGUGGUGGUAUCAUCAAUUUGCUGUCUGCAGCCACAUGUAGACUAAGAACGCACAAUUGCAUGGAGAGCUGAAGCUGUGUAUUAUCCCAGAGAUAAUGAGAGAGGAAACACGUUGCAAAGAGCAUGCCGGACCAGCCAUGAAUGUGGCCGUGCUUUAAGCUGCAGCAUUUGCCUGUAGCAUUGUGCAUGUCACUUGUAGAAGACCAUCCAGCAGCACUCUGCAAGCAUCUCACAAGACAGCAAGUAAGACACAAGCCUUGCAGCACAUCAGGAAAGAGCUUAAAAUGAAACAGUUUCUUUGGCCAGGUCAACACUGUGGUGACCGUGUUGGGGUAAAGCCACGGGGAGAAGUCUCCUGGAGAAGCAAAUGGGAGCAAUGGAGUGUGCAUGAUGGGUACAGCUGAGCACCACCAAGCCCCUAACCUCAGCAGGCCUACAACUUUGUAAGUGGUUACUGGAUUCCCUCGGCUUCCACCAAGUCCUUCACCACGCAGCACAAUGCAUC
ensembl:lncRNA